GAUGAACGCUGGCGGCGUGCCUAAUACAUGCAAGUCGAGCGAACAGACGAGGAGCUUGCUCCUCUGACGUUAGCGGCGGACGGGUGAGUAACACGUGGAUAACCUACCUAUAAGACUGGGAUAACUUCGGGAAACCGGAGCUAAUACCGGAUAAUAUAUCGAACCGCAUGGUUCAAUAGUGAAGGACGGUUUUGCUGUCACUUAUAGAUGGAUCCGCGCCGCAUUAGCUAGUUGGUAAGGUAACGGCUUACCAAGGCAACGAUGCGUAGCCGACCUGAGAGGGUGAUCGGCCACACUGGAACUGAGACACGGUCCAGACUCCUACGGGAGGCAGCAGUAGGGAAUCUUCCGCAAUGGGCGAAAGCCUGACGGAGCAACGCCGCGUGAGUGAUGAAGGUCUUCGGAUCGUAAAACUCUGUUAUUAGGGAAGAACAAAUGUGUAAGUAACUAUGCACGUCUUGACGGUACCUAAUCAGAAAGCCACGGCUAACUACGUG
rnacentral:rRNA from 1 species